rnacentral:sRNA from 16 species
CAAACAUAUAAAUUUGUAAUACCGUUCAUAAUUGGUAUGAUUUGGACAGUAGUUGUAUUUCUUAUGAUCAAUUGGAAUUAUAUAGGCAAAUACUAAGAAGAGACAAAAAUAUAUAAAUAU